UUGCGGAGAAUGAGGCUCCGGGCCGGUUCAGCUAUAAAAGUACAAAUUCCUCAAUAUCUUUUAUUGUGCCUUUUCUUUCAAGUCACAAAAUUAGAGGUUUGAACAUCUUUGCUAUCAUUGCAAAAGAUAGAUUGAUAUAUACGCCUGAGCCAGUAAUGAGUAUUGAAGUGAGUAACAAGAGCAAGGGUAUGAAAUGGAUCUAUGGUCCACGAUUCUACUGUCGCUGUUCUCCAGAAGACAUAACAUGGUUGAGCCGUUGGAAAAUGGACAAUCAAACAAUAAGAUUAGAAUGUGGAGAUGAAGUGGUUGUUUCCGUAAUGACGAUGGAACGUAGAGAGUCUUUUCGGGUAAAGGACAAUCAAACAAUAAUAUUAGAAUGUGAAGAUGUGACGAAACGUGGAAAGUCUUUUCGGGUAAAGGAGUUUGGGGUUGAGCUUGUGCAAGAGCACCAAGACAAGAUGAGUACCAAACACAACACCACUCCAGAUCCUAAUGAUCCAUUUGUCAUCGGUGGAGAUUUGUCACCGCUGGGCAUAUAUCAGGAAAUUACUACUUUUGCUGGUUCAGUGAAGCAGAAAUGAAAAAUACUGAUUUUUGUAGGCCGAAAUGGUUGAAUACCCUCAUCAUGGACUCAGAUAAAGAAGAAGAGCAACAGAACGAUCUUGAUCACAAAAUUGCAGCAGCGAGUGCUAGAGGCAAUAACUGCCAUCUGGGAGGAUGGUGAGGGCUAGUCACUGCUGCCGUCUUCUUUCUCACGCUAACUCUAAUCGUUCCGCCCUCCAUCUCUCAAAAAGAGAAGCGACAGUAGUCCGAAAGCCCUCCACGAGUUUUUUAUUUUACUACAUAUAGACAUCUCUGCAUUAUCACCUUGUCUUCAAGAUGUUUUCUGCCUUCAAACACAAGAAUUCGAUUCAUAGCUAAGCCAUCUUAAACGCAUGGCAAUAGGUAUCUUUAGCAACACUGGCAAGAAUCAAUUCUUUGAAUUUUGGGGAGAAGAUUUCAGCACGGGGGAAAGCAAGAACAUCCGCUUUGCUAGUAAGUGUCAAAGUUACAGAUCUUAAUUGUCAUUUGCAACAAAAUUGUGUAAAUUACAUAAAUAUCAGUACAACAAAUAUUAGCCUUGCCUACA